rnacentral:rRNA from 1 species
UACGGAGGGUGCGAGCGUUGUUCGGAUUUACUGGGCGUAAAGGGCGCGUAGGCGGCAAUUCAAGUCAGCUGUGAAAUCUCCGGGCUUAACUCGGAACGGUCAGCUGAUACUGCUUUGCUAGAGUGCAGAAGGGGCAAUCGGAAUUCUUGGUGUAGCGGUGAAAUGCGUAGAUAUGUGGAGGAACACCAGUGGCGAAGGCGACUCUCUGGGCUGUAACUGACGCUGAGGCGCGAAAGCGUGGGGAGCAAACAGGG